CAAGGCGGAGCCAAGAUGGCGGAACAGCAUGGAAGUAUUUUGUGUGUGUCACGUCCAUGAAAUCCAGCUAGACCAACACUAAACCAUCUAGCACACCUGGAAAACUGAUUUGAGGAUUAACACAACAAUCUGCACGACCUGAACCAUAGAAUUCAGCAGGUAUAUGGUGUCAUACUUUAUAUCCUUUUAUUUAUGUUUUUGAAAGAAAUGGGAAGCAAGCUCAUCAGCUGAGGGGAGAUGGUGUUGAAGGUUUAACGACAGAGAAGACAUGGAAUGAUUAACAGGGGAACCGGCUCUCUCUGUGUGGCCCGAGGACUCCCCGGACCUCAUUCUGCUCCUGAGGAUUCGCCCUUCUCACCAGAGCACCACCAGGCUGGCUUUUCCAUGUUGUUGCUGUCCUCCUGAUCCACUCUGGGAGAGAACAAAGUCACCAAUGCUCAGUGAAGAUCCUGCUACUUGGUUUAACUACAUUUCUCAGAUGAAUGUUGGGUACAAAAAGGAAUAACAAUGGAGGAGGACAAACAAACAAAAGAUGACUUCUUAGGACUUCUAAGAUAUAAAGGCAUCAUCCUUCUAUAAGAAUUAUUCUCCCAAGAAAGAGGAGCACGAUUGCCACCAGAGAAAGAGGAGGAUAUGAUAUAGAAGCCAUGGUGCACAGGGUAGGGAAGUGGAAAACUGGGAGGGGAGAAAGGACAGGAAAUGAGGAAAGGGCAGGAAAAUGUAUGUGCUUGUCUUUCUUCCACCUUAGAGGUUAAUCUGCAAGGGAGAGAAAGUAGAUAUACUGAAAUACAUUCUGAAGUUCCUCAAACGUGGCACAUCACAGAGAAGUUCUACACUCAGCCUGGGGUAGCAUGUUAGAGAGCAUUGACAGAAGAAGAUUCUGGAUGGAUGGGCCAUGAUAUCCCAUGAUCUUCAUGUGCCAAGGGGAGGUCCAAAGUUCCUGAUGAACCCGCGAGGAAUGCAGAAGUGCUGAGAAAAUGCUGGGUCUGAAGAUGCCUCAGGACCAAGGGAACCCCCCGCUCCUGACAGAAGGUCCAAAAGAGGUAAAGUAGAUCCUAAGAACUGACAGAUUUUUCAGCAAGUGAAAUGAGAGGUUCAGGUUGGAUAUAAUUUGACUUAAAAAUAGGAAAUGCAAAAUUCCCUAAGCCUUAAAUUCUCAGUUUUCUGGAACCUUAACAUCUGUUACAUAAAGUUAAGUAAAACAUGGUUUGUACUUUUAGGUGGAGCUUGUGACCCAGUGAAGGAGACACAUGUGUCAACAAAUCCAGUGCAGUAAAUGAUACAACUGAGGCAGGUUCGCAGUGUGGAAGAAACAUAGAACAAGAUUAAAUGGUUGGUCUUCUCAGGGUAGACGAUGUUCUAAUCAGACCCUGAAAGAUGAGAGUUUUCAUAGGUAGACUUCACUUGUCCCUGUGCUGAGGUGUCUCCCUGUGGAAUUCUUGCCAUUUAUGUCUCCUGAAAUCCCUCGUAUCAAACAUCACCUACUUCAUGAAAAUUUUUCUUAUCCUUCCCACCAGAUUUGAUUUCUCCUGUUUCCUAAUUUUCAUGGCACUCUCGACUUAGUAUCUGGGAAAUUCUCUGGAAAAUUCUCUCAGAUGGGAGAGACCUUAGCCAGAUUCUUCUGAACUGUGUUCAUUUUCAUAGUUGCUGAUCAAUAGCUCUGUAACAAAUGUAUAGUCAUAGGUAAUGUGAAAUAGCUAGCCUAGAACAUAUAAAUUAGUUUUCACAGUGAAGCUGAUUUUUCCUCUUCCGUGUCCAUCUUCUUUAGUCUUGGCAAGGGGAGAUUUGAUGAUAAAUAAGUUGUGAAAAUAGAUUCCAGCUCAUGUCCUGUCCUUACGGUGUCUCAGAAGAUUUUCAUGGUUACUUUAUGAGGUAGGUACUAUUAUCCCCAUUUUAUAGAUGAGGAAGAAGCAACUCAGAAAUUUUAAGGCACUUGUCAAAUAUCACACAGCUGAUAAAUGGGAGCACUAAGAUGAAAUCAAAUUUGUCUGAUCCUGAAGCACAAAUUGUAUCUUGAUGAACAAAUGACAUCUUAAUGGAGAGCAUCUCCAGAGAUUACAGGUUUUACUGGGAGAUAAAGUUAGACACAAUUCUGACUUGCUUUGGUGAUCAAAAUUGGUUUAUUCCAGCCUAAAUCAGGUCACUAGGAGAUGGUAAAACUUGAUUAUUCCAUGGAAAAGAGACCUACCAUGGUAAAUUGUCAGGAAGAUUGUAUGUACAGAAAUUUUUGAAAACAAGGUGAGAGGGAUAUAUUUUUAUGUUUAAGUGUGGAAUGCAAGAUAGAGACACCAAUGAACAAAAUGUAACGAAAUAUUCAGGUAGUGGGCUUAGCUCUGGAAAGUACAGGCUGCUCCAAUCAGUGCCACUGAUUACCACAAACAUUUCUUACAAAUGUGUCUGAUAUGCAAGUUUCUCCUUCAUUUUAUGCCACUAGUGACAUUAUUAAGUAAUAAAAAAAUGUUUGGUUGAAAAUGGACAAGGAAGAAAAACAAUUGAGGUAUUUUUGCUUUUGAAGACUUCCGUUUUUUUAAUGCUUUAUAUUUCUUGAAGUGAAACAGCAUAAUACUGUCACCUCUGAUCUCUCUACUGCUCAAAUAUAGCUAUCUUUACCCAGUGAUUGUCUAUAAUUUCUCCAUUUGUAAUUCUGUUUUUUCCUGGCAUUUACUAAACAUAAUCAUGUGAGCUAUUGUGCUGUAAAUUCCAGACAUGCCUCUCUUUAAGAAAAUAGAAUUUCAAAUAAUACAUUAGUGGAAAAUUAUUUAUAUUAGCCAGUUGUUGUUGUUAAAAAGAUUUUUCACACAACCAGAUUUAAAGAACCAGAUCCCUUGGGGCAAAUAUUCUCAAUCUGGAGUCAUAAAUGGCUAUUCUGAGGGAUCAGUGCAUUUCCUGAAAAUGCAUUAAAAACAAGAAGUAUAAAGGAUAUAUUCUUAAAAGUCAGUAGAGUCUUUAAAUCUCAGGUAUAAAAAGUGGAACAUAAUUUUUCUAAUACAAUUAACUUAUAAGCACCUAUUUGCUUGUUAGGUGCUUAACUUAGUUUUCUCAAUUCUAUUAAACUGUAUCCUGGUUUACAACAUAUCCAGUUUAAGAUUCUGUUGCUUUCUCUCUUCCUCCUUUUCCCUCACUGUGGGGUAGCUUGCUGGUCCAGAGGAGACUUAUGAAGCACUGUGACAUUGGGGGACACGUCUGGGUGUUGAUGAUCUCUCUCAUUUUCUAAAGAGGUGACUUGGUCUCUCUGUUCUGUGUUCUGUGUGAGGAAAGCAUAACUUGGCUCCAGUGAACAGGCACUGACUAUUCUCCAACUAUUGAUUGGUCCCAUACCUGGUAUGUGCAAUGCCAUGGAAUUGUAGCCACAUCUCUGCACACCAGUCAACAGGCUGCACUGUUCUUUGGUAUUUUGUGUGGUUGCCCUUCCAGGUAGCCUUUCCCAUGGCCUGUUGGUUGGUUCACUUUCCCAACUAACUUCCAGGCCUCCUGGAGCUCACAAAGGCCCCAUGCUUACUAAGUAGGCACCAUGAGAAUACCCAGGGGGCUGGACAGGCCAUAAUCUUCAGCCCUUCAGGAUCUAGAUAAGGCAUUCUAACAUUUAUAUUUCCACUUUACACCAUUUUGUUCUGGGUUCUUCUAUUAAGACUGAGAUUUUCAAAAUACUCCAAAGGGAAAGCUGGAUACGAAUUUCUUUACUCUUGGGCCCUGUUAACAUAAAGGAGAAAUCUCUGUCCCACCUCUACCCUAAGACUCUUCCAGGAGUGUGAUGCAGUACAUAUCUGUUAUGUGCUGAAUUGUGUCCUCUCAAAUUAAUAUGUUGAAGCCCUAAGCCCAGUACCUCAGAAUGUGACUGUAUAUGGAGAAAUGGUCUUUAAAGAGGUGAUUAAGUUAAAAUGAAGCUGUUAGGGUGGUGCUUAACCCAACCUGGUAUUUGUAAGAAGAAGAAAUUGAGACACACGAGGAGACACCAGAGGUGUGCACACAGAGGUAAGGCCAUGUGAGGACACAGAGGAGGAUGGUCAUCUUCAAGCUAAGGAGAGAGGCCUUAAGAGAAACCAACCCUGACAUCAUCUUGAUCAUGGCCUGUUGUUUCUUUUAUGCCACCUAGUCUGUGGUAUUUUGCUACAAUAGUCACAGCAAAUUAAUAUAACAUCCUUCCAACAUCACAAUUUUCUCCCACCUGUCUAAGAACUCUGUUUUCUUUUCCUUACCUACAGAUCAUUUAUAUCUCCUUCAGGGCAGGAGUGGCUAUGAAGGGGACUUGUUCCAUAGGUUCACGCAGGCUCCAGCAAACCCUACCCCCAACUAAGUUUUUGGCUUAUACUUACCAGGAAUUUGAAUCUUUUGUUAAAGAAUCUGGAGUCUUUGUUUUGCUUGUUCAAAUGGGGGUGAUUGAAGGAAGGAAAAAGAAACAUGAUGUUUAAGGUUUCAGAUCUCACAUACACUUGACCUCCAGUAUCCUUAGGAGAUACUUCCCAGACCUCCAGUGGAUGCCUGAAACUAUACACACACACACACACACACACACACACACACACACACA